rnacentral:lncRNA from 1 species
GACGGCGCUCGGCAGCUGGGGACUCUGCGUUGAAGGCUCUGGGGUAAACCAGUUGGUAGGUAUGCAGCGAACGAGAAGUCCGUAAGCCGGGGCCACCAGCCUCUUUGGGCCUGGCACUCGUCUCCCUCUUGAGCAUUCUUGAUUCCUCAGCGACGGCGGCUGCUAUGGGACACGGGGGCGGGGCUGGGCUGGGCACCUGUGCGCGUUGCAGGCACCUGCUGCACUGAGGUCUUGGAACCUGCAGUCCAUGUUUGGGGGCUGCUGAAUGGGCUGGGCUGGGCUGGCCCAGGGAAGGAAGGCGGGCCCAGCCGCUGGACCUGUCUGGGGCCCGCCCUCCCAGGCCAAGGCCUGUGGCUCCAGGCAGCGGGGGAUGGGAGGGUGGUCUCUCAGACCUGGAGAGACUCAGCCCCCACUCCAGAGUCUUGAAGACCCCUGACUGGCUUCAAGGUAGCUGCAAGGCCAGGGCACGGCCCCUGACUUGCGUCACCUCAAGACAGGUUUGUCCAGAUUCUCUGUGUGCUCUGAAACGGAUUUCUGCCCCAGGCAAGGGUGCCCAUCCCAGCCAGAUGCCGGUCUUGGCCGUGCCCGGCGAGCCUGUCCGGGGCCGGAGCUGUUUUGUCUUUUUCCUGGGCUAUGCCCAGUCUCCUCUUAACCUGGAAUUCCUAGAGCUCAUUUCAGGGUAAGUUAGGAGCAGUGGGUCUAGUUUGGCCCUUCUGUGUAAGGGAUCAUUCGUAUGAGCCAAAGACACUGACUUCUCAGCUGUUAAGAUAUAAAGGAAACUAAUCAUGUUUUGUUCUCAGAGCCGAACCAGGAGAAAUUCCAAAAUUGUUUCCUAACGCCAAGGAUAUAGCGUGUGCUUUCCUUCCAUCUGUGGCAUUCCUAUUGGAAUGUCAUAUUGUUCCUGUCGUGGAUUAGACAUCUAAUAAAUGGUGUCAUUUUUGAAAAGCGUGCUGAAGUUUCUCGAUUGUGUUGCUGAUGGGACCAUUGGGUUUAAAAAAAAAAAAAUCACAAUGCUAG